GCUGGGUACGAGGAUGCCUGUCUGUAAUCCCAGCAACUUGGGAGGCUGAGGCAGGAGGAUUGCAGAUUCAAGGGCAGCCUCUGCAACUUAGCAAGACCCUGUCUCAA
rnacentral:sRNA from 1 species